ensembl:lncRNA
CAUAAACUAGGGCCGCGGGCCGGUGCCCCGGUCUUCAGCCACCAGUGUGCAGGAGCAGCAGCAGUGGCAAGAGUUGAGCCCAGUCCAGCAAGCUAACGCUACAUGGCGCUAGCUGGCAGCGUCGUGCAGCUUUCAGAGUGCCAAAUCAAGACGCCGCACUCAACCGACUUCCCGCUCGAAGGAACCGUGUCUUUGGAAAGAGGACAGAGCUGGUCUUCACCACCAGGGUCCCACCGACUCAGAGCAUCAGUCUGGGCCUCCAGAGUCACCUGAGUCCAGAGGGCCUCCCAUCGCCCAUUGCUCCUUGGGGAGCGGCUGGUGGUGCUGAUGAGGAGACUACUUGCUUCUGCAGACAGUUGGCAUUUAACAGGAGAUUUUCUCUCUCCUUGGCCGCCUUCACACCCAACACACAGUCAGACGGAUGGACGGAUGGAUGGAUGGUUGAUGGAUGGCCACACGG